CAUGCUCACGGUUAGUUUGGGCGUCUCUGCUGCAGACGGCUCUACUCUGUACUUCUCUGGACGCUCAACAACAAAUUUAGUGAAGCGUCGGUGCGUCGCUUUAGCUCAUGUUGAAGUAGACGAGUCUAAAAAACGUGUCACGCUGAGGACGGUGGAUUAGAAAGGACACGGGCUGAAGGAGGUGGGAGCCAUAAAACAGGCCCGUCCUACACGGAGAAGUGUGGCUAAUGAGUGUAAAGCACACAGAGCUGAGCGGCCAUGAAAUGCAACGACCAAA